GAUGAACGCUGGCGGCGUGCCUAAUACAUGCAAGUCGAGCGAACAGACGCGGAGCUUGCUCCUCUGACGUUAGCGGCGGACGGGUGAGUCACGUGUGGAUAACCUACCUAUCAGACUGGGAUAACUUCGGGAAACCGGCGCUAAUACCGGAUAAUAUAUUGCACCGCAUGGUUCAUUAGUGAAAGACGGUUUUGCUGUCGGUUGGGGAUGGCUCGGCGCCGCAUUAGCUAGUUGGUGGGGUAGAGGCUUAUCAAGGCUAUGAUGGGUAGCCGGCUUGAGAGGGGGACCGGCCACGGUGGGACGGAGAGAAGGCCCAGACUGCGACGGGAGGCAGCAGUGGGGAAUAUUGAACAAUGGGCGGAAGCCUGAUGCAGAAACGCCGCGUGCGGGAUGACGGCCUUCGGGUUGUAAACCGCUUUCGACUGUGACGAAGCGUGAGUGACGGUAAUGGGUAAAGAAGCACCGGCUAACUACGUG
rnacentral:rRNA from 1 species